AGAGUUUGAUCCUGGCUCAGAUUGAACGCUGGCGGCAUGCCUUACACAUGCAAGUCGAACGGUAACAGCACUUCGGUGGCUGACGAGUGGCGAACGGGUGAGUAAUACAUCGGAACGUGCCCGAGAGUGGGGGAUAACGCAGCGAAAGCUGUGCUAAUACCGCAUACGAUCUACGGAUGAAAGCAGGGGACCGCAAGGCCUUGCGCUCAUGGAGCGGCCGAUGGCAGAUUAGGUAGUUGGUGGGAUAAAAGCUUACCAAGCCGACGAUCUGUAGCUGGUCUGAGAGGACGACCAGCCACACUGGGACUGAGACACGGCCCAGACUCCUACGGGAGGCAGCAGUGGGGAAUUUUGGACAAUGGGCGAAAGCCUGAUCCAGCCAUGCCGCGUGCAGGAUGAAGGCC
rnacentral:rRNA from 1 species